rnacentral:rRNA from 1 species
AGAGUUUGAUCCUGGCUCAGAUUGAACGCUGGCGGCAUGCCUUACACAUGCAAGUCGAACGGUAACAGGUCUUCGGAUGCUGACGAGUGGCGAACGGGUGAGUAAUACAUCGGAACGUGCCCGAUCGUGGGGGAUAACGGAGCGAAAGCUUUGCUAAUACCGCAUGCGAUCUACGGAUGAAAGCGGGGGAUCGCAAGACCUCGCGCGGACGGAGCGGCCGAUGGCAGAUUAGGUAGUUGGUGGGAUAAAAGCUUACCAAGCCGACGAUCUGUAGCUGGUCUGAGAGGACGACCAGCCACACUGGGACUGAGACACGGCCCAGACUCCUACGGGAGGCAGCAGUGGGGAAUUUUGGACAAUGGGCGAAAGCCUGAUCCAGCCAUGCCGCGUGCAGGAUGAAGGCCUUCGGGUUGUAAACUGCUUUUGUACGGAACGAAAAGACUCCUUCUAAUAAAGGGGGUCCAUGACGGUACCGUAAGAAUAAGCACCGGCUAACUACGUGCCAGCAGCCGCGGUAAUAA